AGAGUUUGAUUUUGGCUCAGGACGAACGCUGGCGGCGUGCCUAACACAUGCAAGUCGAACGGAGAUAAGCGCUGAUGAUUUAGCCUGCUAGAGAUUCUUGUUUAUCUUAGUGGCGGACGGGUGAGUAACGCGUGAGCAACCUGCCUUUCAGAGGGGGAUAACGUCUUGAAAAGGACGCUAAUACCGCAUGAUAUUAUGGAGCCACAUGGCUCUAUAAUCAAAGGAGCAAUCCGCUGAAAGAUGGGCUCGCGUCCGAUUAGGUAGUUGGCGGGAUAACAGCCCACCAAGCCGACGAUCGGUAGCCGGACUGAGAGGUUGAACGGCCACAUUGGGACUGAGACACGGCCCAGACUCCUACGGGAGGCAGCAGUGAGGGAUAUUGGUCAAUGGGGGAAACCCUGAACCAGCAACGCCGCGUGAGGGAUGACGGCCUUCGGGUUGUAAACCUCUGUCCUCUGUGAAGAUAAUGACGGUAGCAGAGGAGGAAGCUCCGGCUAACUACGUGCCAGCAGCCGCGGUAAUACGUAGGGAGCAAGCGUUGUCCGGAUUUACUGGGUGUAAAGGGUGCGUAGGCGGUUUGGUAAGUCAGAAGUGAAAUCCAUGGGCUUAACCCAUGAACUGCUUUUGAAACUAUCGAACUUGAGUGAAGUAGAGGUAGGCGGAAUUCCCGGUGUAGCGGUGAAAUGCGUAGAGAUCGGGAGGAACACCAGUGGCGAAGGCGGCCUACUGGGCUUUAACUGACGCUGAGGCACGAAAGCAUGGGUAGCAAACAAGACUAGAUACCCUGGUAGUCCAUGCCGUAAA
rnacentral:rRNA from 1 species